rnacentral:tRNA from 1 species
GGCUCCUUGGUCAAGCGGUUAAGACACCGCCCUUUCACGUCGGUAACACGGGUUCGAGUCCAGUAGGAGUCA